rnacentral:tRNA from 1 species
UGAGGUUGUAGCUCAGCUGGAUAGAGCUUCAGAUUGCGGAUCUGAAGGUCGGAGGUUCGAAUCCUCUCAGCCUCAGC